rnacentral:rRNA from 1 species
GGUGAAAAGCACCCCGGAAGGGGAGUGAAAUAGAACCUGAAACCGUGUGCUUACAAGUAGUCAGAGCCCGUUAAUGGGUGAUGGCGUGCCUUUUGUAGAAUGAACCGGCGAGUUACGAUUUGAUGCAAGGUUAAGCAGUAAAUGUGGAGCCGUAGCGAAAGCGAGUCUGAAUAGGGCGUUUAGUAUUUGGUCGUAGACCCGAAACCAGGUGAUCUACCCUUGGUCAGGUUGAAGUUCAGGUAACACUGAAUGGAGGACCGAACCGACUUACGUUGAAAAGUGAGCGGAUGAACUGAGGGUAGCGGAGAAAUUCCAAUCGAACCUGGAGAUAGCUGGUUCUCUCCGAAAUAGCUUUAGGGCUAGCCUCAAGUGAUGAUUAUUGGAGGUAGAGCACUGUUUGGACGAGGGGCCCCUCUCGGGUUACCGAAUUCAGACAAACUCCGAAUGCCAAUUAAUUUAACUUGGGAGUCAGAACAUGGGUGAUAAGGUCCGUGUUCGAAAGGGAAACAGCCCAGACCACCAGCUAAGGUCCCAAAAUAUAUGUUAAGUGGAAAAGGAUGUGGCGU